rnacentral:rRNA from 1 species
GGACGAACGCUGGCGGCGUGCCUAACACAUGCAAGUCGAGCGGAGGGGAUAGGAGCUUGCUUCUUGAACCUCAGCGGCGGACGGGUGAGUAACACGUGGGUAACCUGCCCUUGAGAGGGGGAUAACAGGUCGAAAGGCCUGCUAAUACCGCAUAACGCUAAGAAGCUGCAUGGCGUCUUAGCCAAAGGUUAAUUCCGCUCAAGGAUGGGCCCGCGGCCCAUUAGCUAGUUGGUGAGGUAAUGGCUCACCAAGGCGACGAUGGGUAGCCGGCCUGAGAGGGUGGUCGGCCACACUGGGACUGAGACACGGCCCAGACUCCUACGGGAGGCAGCAGUGGGGAAUAUUGCGCAAUGGGGGAAACCCUGACGCAGCGACGCCGCGUGAGCGAUGAAGGCCUUCGGGUUGUAAAGCUCUGUCUUCCCUGACGAUAAUGACGGUAAGGGAGGAGGAAGCCACGGCUAACUACGUGCCAGCAGCCGCGGUAAUACGUAGGUGGCGAGCGUUGUCCGGAAUUACUGGGCGUAAAGGGUGCGUAGGCGGCUCUUUAAGUGGGAUGUGAAAUCCCUGGGCUCAACCCAGGAACUGCAUUCCAAACUGGAGAGCUAGAGUGCAGGAGAGGAAAGCGGAAUUCCCAGUGUAGCGGUGAAAUGCGUAGAGAUUGGGAGGAACACCAGUGGCGAAAGCGGCUUUCUGGACUGUAACUGACGCUGAGGCACGAAAGCGUGGGGAGCAAACAGGGUUUAGAUACCCUGGUAGUUCACGCUGUAAACGAUGGGUAGUAGGUGUAGGGGGGAAGCCCUCUGUGCC